GCGUAAAAGGUUAUUUUUUAUUGUUGACUAUCAUUAAACACAGCAGACGGUCCGUUUCCGGCCAGAAGUACGACAUAAUAUAAUAAUUCAACAUUAAAUUCGAAUACGAAGAUAUUACGAAGUUGUUAAGCAACUGUUGGAAGUUAUCUAUGUACUUAAUCUAAGUUAGUAAAGUUUAGUCCAAGUUGUGAUUUACUUGUGUUCAGUGUUGUUUCGGAUUUUGAAAUAAAAUUUGAAUAACUUUAAUAACGAUGUGUGUCUGUGUGGUAAUGUGAAUGACAGUAAGGACAAGACAAGCAUGUACCAGUUGAAGUGAUAUUACUUAGUAUGACUUAUUAGCGGCAAAUUCAAGUGGUCUCUACCUCUACAGGAAUAUUUUCUGCAGCAUGAGUCAUGUUUCGGAUAACAAUGGUUUCUGUUGUUAUAACGUGAACUUGUGUAAUAACAAGUAUUUCUUGUGUUUGUUCAAAAAUGUGAUUAAGUCUGAAUGUUGUUUCGAAGGAAAACGAACGUAACAUAACUUUUGAAGGCAAGCACAUUGAAGUAUUGAAAUCAAGAAUCAUUCGAAAAUGGCGGAAAAUAAUAAAAAGCGUGCCGGCAGUUUUCGCAAACUAUUUCCGAACCUAUUUUUUUCGCACAAAUCAAAAGAAAAAAAUGCAAAUAAAGAUGCACAAUCCAAUGCAAAGAGUGCCCCAGAAUUUUCUAAAGGCAAUCAAUAUCAGAAUCCUCGAUCGAUAAGAUCCGAUAAAAAUGGCCAAGGACUGGAAGAUAGUGAGCGUAUAUAUGAAAAUUUAACAACAAAUCGUCCUCAGAGUGAUAACGAAACGCAAAGCAACGACGUAUCAAGUCAUCACUCUUCAAGUAGUACACUUGUUUCGGAAAGUACAAAAAAUAAAUCGAUUGAUGUCAAUGGAGUUUCGGAAGUAGAAAGUUUUGCAUACACCAACUACGCAGCAAGACCUCAAGUACCACCGAAACCAUAUAACGAAAUGGCGAACUCCCCGCAUUCACCUAAAGAAAAUACUAAUCAAGAAAAUAAAUUCGAUAACACUCAAUAUCCGGACGUUUAUUAUCAUUCAUUGGAGAAGCUAACUGAUAAAAUAUCGCCGUUCGAUGAAAUUGAAAUUUACAGAGCAUCACAGGCACAGGCAAAUCCAGCUUCAGUAGGAGCAGAAAUAAAAAGAGUGAGUACCAAAUUUUUGAUAUCGCCGAAGAAGGAAGCGGAGGUACGAACAAUCAUGCCUACGAGAGCUCGCAGUUUGUCUUUUGACAAUAAUAAUAAAGAAAACGAACAAGGAAGACAACCAAGGAAUUCUUAUAAGAAACAAGAAACCAUUACUAAACCUUACAACUACUCGGCCCCAACAUCGCCAAUGCCAAUAAACCACAAAAUUCCGAAUAUGCCGAAAACUGUGUCACCAUAUGAACAUGUGCGAAAGAUUAUGAUUGAAACAGAAGAGAAAAGGAAUUCCUUGAGCAGAUCGAGCCUUCGUACCAAAUCGCCAUCGUCACCCAGAUCGGAGUAUAGUCAAAGGAUGACGCCUACUCUCCAGGAAAAUUCGAAACAGGAAUCGAUUGAUAAAGAGAAAACGAGGCAAAAAGUUGAAGCAUUUUACUGGCAGAAGUUAAAAGAGUUGAAGCAAAAAGAAGACGAGUACCUUACUAAACAGUCUUUGACGUCCUCUUUGAAAAGUCCUUUAAGAUUAAAAACUUCUGGUAAUCCUAACUGCAGUACACCAAACUCAUUUUCUUAUGUGAUAGAGCCUAGAAGUUGCAGUUUGCCGCGUGGGAACGAUUUGAAAAGUUACUCUAUGAACCAGCCAAUUUACACUUCCGUGCCAUUUAACAGAGGCGCUCCGGAAAGGCGGACGGAUACUUUUAUCAAAACUCGAACUACUUUCGACGAUCCAGAGAUCAUCUACCGUCACCCCGAAAAACUUACUGCCAGAACGACGUCGCCUUUAUUACUUCAAGAUCAGAAAAUGCCGAUUUAUUAUCGUGGAACGAUUCCUCAGGAUAAUCAAAAUGCAGGGCAGUUAAAACGUGUUAGUUUUGAAGAUCGCUAUGGAAAAACUGUGAAUGGUGUUAAAUGUGAUGGUGAGGUAAAGUUUAGUGAUGUGAAAGUGCAAAAUAGACCGCCAGCUAACAACAAAGUGAGUGCAUUAUCCUCAAGAGUGCCUCCCAGACCACCAGUGCGGACCACUAGUGUUGGUGGUGUCGGCAGAAAAAUCGCGAUAGAUAAAAAAAGCCUUUACACCACGAGUGCUGGACAUUCGCUGUGCUCAGAGUCUGAGAGCGGGUCCGAAGCUGGCGAAAUACAGAGAAUAUUGCAGACCAACCCACAGAAAGAAGAAGACUGGCAUGGAGACGGGCGAAUGGACGGAGGAGUCUCCGACGGCGAGACUAGCCGAGGCCCAUCCCGUGCCCGCAGCUCCCGGCGUGAUGACCCUCGCCGCCACACACUCGCUGGCAACCAUCACCUACAGACUUACGACCAUUCUGGACACGUCAUUCCGAUGCCGCCACCAUCGGCUCGGUAUGCGCCACCUACAAACAAUGCCAUGCUUUUCGAUGAAGACCCUGGCAUCAUGUCGGAGGUCGAAACAGCAUCAACUGGGUUCCGGCGCGGGGGCAAACAGAGAUCUUCUCUGCCCGUCGUACGGACCCCGAGCAAGACCUUGGAGAGACCGCUUGGUUUAGUCUUCUUGCAAUACCGCAAUGAAACCAAGCGCGCUCUGCUCCCAAAUGAGAUCACAUCUAUCGACACGGUCAAAGCCCUGUUUGUACGCAGCUUCUGCAAACAACUAACUAUGCAGUACAUGGAUAGUCCUUUAGUGAAGAUUUAUAUUCACGAUUCGUCAAAGGACAUGUUUUAUGAAUUGGAAGAUGACAGGGCUCAUCUACGCGAUAUCCGCGAUCGGUCGGUUUUGCGUCUCUUUGAGGCAACUGAUAUCGGUGGGGGGGCCUUCCCUGGUGCAGUUGGCGUUGGGUCAUUCUCAAUGCCAGCUGGUGCUGUUCCCUCGUGCUCCGGCCCUUCAUCGUGGGAACAAGAACAGAACUAUUUCUCCGAGCCAGAAAUUGACUCGGAGUAUCAUAGUCAGCAUGUUCAUAAGUCGAAGGUAAAGGCUCCUGCUUACUACAUCGGUGGUCAGCAGCCGAGCACCCUGCCGCGAGGGGGAUCGAUGCUCCGCGCUUACUCACCUGCCGCUCCACCGAUCCCCGCCGAUCGUAUCAAGGCUCACUCCACCUCAGGUCCCACCGCGCCGGCCAAGCCGAUGCGCACGUACAUCCCUGGGAGUGGGUCAGAACGCUGUUUCCCCUUCGCCGCGGCGGAUUGCGCUCGGGGGCCCGACCAACUGUACACGAUCCCCGGUCAUGCUGAGGGGUAUAUGUCGUCUCCGGAGCGCGGGGCUGCCAGGGCUCCGUACGAAGAUCCGUAUUAUACGCAGUACCUCGGCCCUGCGGCUGGACGAGCUGCUAUUGCUCCGAUUAUUGACGAAGAAGCCGGCGAUGCUGGUAUAAUGGAUGAUGCAUAUACCUUGUAUGGAAAUCCAAUUACCACUGCUCCUAGGCCGAUGCCACGGCCGCCGUAUGACGCCAGGCCGCAAUUGGAUGACAUGCAGCGACUGCGCGUUGAGAAGAUGGAGAGGCAACUGGCCAACUUAACGGGGCUCGUGCAAAAAGCUUUGCAGGUUCCCAACCAACCCACCACUCCUGCAGCCAUUCCGCGUCAAGACUACCAGACGUACAAUACACGACCUGCCGCACAAGAUGCGGCACGAUUUACCAGCACGGAGAGACCUCCUAAGUUAGGCAGAGAUAAAUUUCAAAAAUCUGUCUCUUUUGAGAAAUCAGUAUCAUUUAGCGAUGAUCCUCCUGAUAUGAGCUCACCAAAGCAGCAUUCACCCCAACAUACAGCCGAUUCCAAACCUACCAAACCGGCUAUCAAAUCUUCGACAUUGCCAAGGACGUCAUCUCAAGAGCGUGAUCGUCUGAAGCCUGCUCCUCCUCCGAAGCCGGCAGGGCUAGCGAGCCAGCAACUGGCUCUGGUCCCACAGAAGACCUAUACGAUCAACGUAACCUCGGAUUUCCAAAACCAGCUGCGCUUGUUGCAGAAGCAAGGUCGUGAUCUCAGAAUUGAGACCCGCAAUAUGCGCCGCUCGACCUUGACGCACGCCAUUCAGAUGCGACAGCUCAUGGGCGAGGCCAUCUUAAAGAUUGGAGCCAUUGCUGCAAGCUUUUGCGAAAUGGAUCCUGAUUCUCAACUAUGCCGUGAAGAAGAGAUCUAUCGUCAGGAUAUGCUGCUGCUCGAGAACGAUCUGUACGAGCUCGAGGCCACUGUUGAACGUCUGCGAGGCCAGGCUGCUAACAGGGAAACCCGCGUCAAUAUGGCGGACAUCGAACGCAUUGCAAUGGUGCUGUCAAAGAGCAGCAAGACUGUCGCUGACUGGAAACUCAAGUUUCCCGUUCUGCAGGAGACUAUGAAGACCAAACUGGCUGCUGAGAUGGAAAAGGUGGUGCGAAAGGAGAAGAUGCUGGAAGAAGAACCCGAGCGCUUGGAGCUAGCCUUGCGCCGCUGCAAGAAGCUUACAGGAACACUGGUUACGCUCAAACGCCUUGCUUGUGUGCAAGAACAGCGUCUGCCACUAAGCGACGGCCGAGUCUCACCAGUAUCGUCACAAAGCUCCACUUUCACCGCUGGACAAUCUUCUGAGGAUUGUGCUUCUGAUUUGAGCACAACAUGCCCAAAUGCUCUUGCUCACAACAAGCGCGUUGUUAUCAGGAGCCGCACACAGCCCAACGCUUCAGGAACUGAAUGAAUUGCCCUAACAACCCUUUCUCACUCCUCUAUUUCUUUUAUUCUUUAAGACUAACUCCUAAGAUCUUCCCUACUUAAGUUGACUGGAUUCUGUCGGGCACAAUCAGAUUUCAAAAAUAGUUAUCCCAAAAAACACAGUGCUCGAUUCUAGUCCUUCGUAAAUCUAACCCUUGACAUAAAUAAUUAGAAAUAAAGUAACCCACGCCAUCGGAGCACAGAUCGGCGAGCACAGCUAGAAGUGCGUGGAAUGGUGCGCAGGCAACCGGCGCCGGCGUGUGCGUCGGGCGAGGCGCUGCGGCCCGGGGAGCGGACCUGCGGCCAGAAAACGCCCUCGAUGCGCUACUAGACGAGCUGCAGACGUUCGCGAAGCCGGCGGAGCGCGGCGCGCGCGGCGAGGGCCC
rnacentral:misc_RNA from 1 species